rnacentral:rRNA from 1 species
UACGUAGGGGGCGAGCGUUGUCCGGAUUCAUUGGGCGUAAAGCGCGCGUAGGCGGCUCCGCAAGUCGGCCGUGAAAUCUCCGGGCUCAACUCGGAGGGGUCGGGCGAGACUGCGGGGCUCGAGGUGGGCAGAGGGCAGUGGAAUUCCGGGUGUAGUGGUGGAAUGCGUAGAGAUCCGGAGGAACACCAGUGGCGAAGGCGGCUGCCUGGGCCUGGCCUGACGCUGAGGCGCGAAAGCGUGGGGAGCAAUCCGG